rnacentral:rRNA from 1 species
UACGAAGGGUGCAAGCGUUGCUCGGAAUCAUUGGGCGUAAAGAGCGUGUAGGCGGCCCGAUAAGUCCGCCGUGAAAGUCCAGGGCUCAACCCUGGAAUGCCGGUGGAAACUGUCGGGCUGGAGUCCGGAAGAGGCGAGUGGAAUUCCUGGUGUAGCGGUGAAAUGCGCAGAUAUCAGGAGGAACACCAAUGGCGAAGGCAGCUCGCUGGGACGGUACUGACGCUGAGACGCGAAAGCGUGGGGAGCAAACAGG